CUAAUCACCAUUUUUAUGCUCUUAAUUUUCACCGUGUCAACUCCAUAUGUUUCAAACCUCAAUUCCACAUCCACCAUGAAUCAUUCUUCCCAACCCGAAACACCACCACCCUCUGAUUCCAUCACCUCGUCACAACCCGAACCGCCACCACCGUCUGAUUCUCUUCAUCUUCGACUCGGAGCCACCAACCACCAUCGUGUAACAAAAAACGACACCGUUUCGAUCAAUGGUUAAGGGUUUGCACAGCCAAGACCUCCCCGCCGAUGUAGCACAUGUCGUCGAUCAGCUAGAGCGCCACUGCUUGGCUCCCGAUGGAUCUCUCAUCUCCAAGCCUCUCUACAACGAUCUACAACUCGCUAGAGAGGAAAUGUGCAGGGAACGACUUCGAUAUCUCGAAGCCAUGGUGCUGCAAUGUUAGCCCCUAUGGUUAAUCCAUAUGAGUCACACAUGACUAAAGAUGAGAUGAAAAGAACUUGGGAGAAGUGGCUUCCAAGGAGAAAAUAUAUGUAUUCCUUGGCUUAUAGAUUUCCAAAGCUUCUCUCUUUUUUCUAUCGGAAAAGUUUCUUGCCGGAAAAGCAUGACCGCGUUGACAAGCAAUUUUCACUUUCACUAGGAAAGAAGGAUGAAAUUCUUGUCGACGAACCUGCAUUCCAAGAGUUUUGGCAGAGGGAUUUAGAGGAGUCAGUUCGCCAGGGAAACAUGAAACCAUUUAUAGAGGAAGUUGUACUGCAGGUAUCUAAAUGGGAUUUUGACAUCGAAGAACUUCGUGUGCAUAAGAAGUGUCGAACAGGAAGCUUGCUUCUUUGGUUGAAGUCCAUGUACGGUCAGACAGA